GUUGCGUCUUCCCGGUGCAACUGAGCCACUAUAACCAAUCGAGAACAAUCAACCCCGGGAAGGGCCCACACAUCCAUAAUGGUGGAAGACCUAGACUUAAUAUUUUCUUAGGAAGAUUUAUUUAGGUCUCAUUAAACUUGACUUGACAUAGUCAUAACAAUUAUGACUAACCUAGUGGCAUGGGUUAGCUUGAAUUGUUAGCCACCUCUAAUCAGAUCUGAGUC
rnacentral:lncRNA from 1 species